rnacentral:tRNA from 1 species
UCUAUUUUAGUGUAUAUAGCACAUAAAACUUUGAUUUUUAAAGAGCAUAUCAAAUAGAUA